rnacentral:rRNA from 1 species
UACGUAGGGGGCAAGCGUUGUCCGGAAUCAUUGGGCGUAAAGAGCGUGUAGGCGGCUUGGUAAGUCCGCUGUGAAAGUCCAGGGCUCAACCCUGGAAUGCCGGUGGAAACUGUCAGGCUCGAGUCCGGAAGAGGCGAGUGGAAUCCUGGUGUAGCGGUGAAAUGCGCAGAUAUCAGGAGGAACACCAAUGCGAAGGCAGCUCGCUGGGACGGUACUGACGCUGAGGAGCGAAAGCA